rnacentral:rRNA from 1 species
UUGAACGCUGGCGGCAGGCCUAACACCUGCAAGUCGAGCGGAUGAAGGGAGCUUGCUCCUGGAUUCAGCGGCGGACGGGUGAGUAAUGCCUAGGAAUCUGCCUGGUAGUGGGGGAUAACGUCCGGAAACGGGCGCUAAUACCGCAUACGUCCUGAGGGAGAAAGUGGGGGAUCUUCGGACCUCACGCUAUCAGAUGAGCCUAGGUCGGAUUAGCUAGUUGGUGGGGUAAAGGCCUACCAAGGCGACGAUCCGUAACUGGUCUGAGAGGAUGAUCAGUCACACUGGAACUGAGACACGGUCCAGACUCCUACGGGAGGCAGCAGUGGGGUAUAUUGGACAAUGGGCGAAAGCCUGAUCCAGCCAUGCCGCGUGUGUGAAGAAGGUCUUCGGAUUGUAAAGCACUUUAAGUUGGGAGGAAGGGCAGUAAGUUAAUACCUUGCUGUUUUGACGUUACCAACAGAAUAAGCACCGGCUAACUUCGUG